rnacentral:rRNA from 1 species
AUUGCACGCUGGCGGCAGGCCUAACACAUGCAAGUCGAACGAGUGGCGGACGGGUGAGUAAUGUCUGGGAAACUGCCCGAUGGAGGGGGAUAACAACUGGAAACGGUAGCUAAUACCGCAUACCAUCGGAUGUGCCCAGAUGGGAUUAGCUAGUAGGUGGGGUAACGGCUCACCUAGGCGACGAUCCCUAGCUGGUCUGAGUGGAUGACCAGCCACACUGGAACUGAGACACGGUCCAGACUCCUACGGGAGGCAGCAGGGGGGAAUAUGGCACAAUGGGCGCAAGCCUGAUGCAGCCAUGCCGCGUGUAUGAAGAAGGCCUUCGGGUUGUAAAGUACUUUCAGCGGGGAGGCGUUACUCGCAGAAGAAGCACCGGCUAACGCCGUGCCAGCAGCCGCGGUAAUUC